rnacentral:rRNA from 1 species
GCCUGUAUGAAGUUGGAAUCGCUAGUAAUCGCGGAUCAGCAUGCCGCGGUGAAUACGUUCCCGGGCCUUGUACACACCGCCCGUCACACCAUGGAAGUCGGUAAUGCCCGAAGUCAGUAGCCUAACCGCAAGGAGGGCGCUGCCGAAGGCAGGAUUGAUGACUGGGGUGAAGUCGUAACAAGGUAGC